rnacentral:lncRNA from 1 species
GGAUCUAGGCAAUUUCUCUUCUGUUGGUGUCCCAAUAUCUCAACAGGCCUUACUCAUGGAAAUUGGUUAUUUCACUGCAUUACAAGCCACGUCAGAGCCAUCACCGAGCAGGCAGGUUCUGAAUGCUUCCAGAUGGGAGGUAUGAUGUCAUGUUUUGAGCUGACAUGGGUGGACUUUGGUGAUGAGAGGGCUGGUAGCUUAUGUCAUGGGGAUCACCAUCUCUGGGACAUGCUGGUCAAAGGCAUUUGUAAGCAAAGAAAGAGCAUCAAGAAUAUUUUUAAUCACUCAUACAUUAACCUUCUUCAUAGGCCAAGAAGCAAUCUCAAGCUUGAGUUCCUAUGGCAGAUUGGAUAUUUUCAACAUGGCUGCAACAAUAUUUGCUGUCCUGCGUGCUUUUCCAGAACCUAACCAUGGCAUGUCCCCCCACCCUCCCAUCCCAUCAAGGGCUCAGUUUAUGUCCCCUCCCCUUGAUGAAUCGAAAGAGGUGGAAAUGAUGCUAUAUGGCUGCUGAGGCUGGGCCGGCAAAGGGCACGCUCUUGCUCUUCUGUCUCAUGGACACGCCUUUGCAGCCCUCAGUCUCCAUGUAACACACCUGAGGCAGCCAUACACGAAGGAAGCCCAAGCCAGCCCACAUGUAGAGACCAUACUAUUAUUUUUUUAAUUGACUCUUAUUGUUUCUUUAGGUAUGUAUUUCGUAUCUGACUCCCAUAUACCAAAACUCUGCAAUCGAUUCUAAUAAUUUGCAAUUAUGCUUUAAAAGUGGACAAUAGUAUCACUUGCAAAUAAUGAUGCUUCUAUCAUCUCCCUUUUAAUACUUAAUUACUCUUAUUUUUUUUUUUUCUUUUUCUGGCAUAUGGAAGUUCCUGGGCGAGGGGUCGAAUUAGAGCUGCAGCUGCCGGCCUGUGCAACAGCUACAGCAACAUCGGAUCCAAGCUGCAUCUGCGACCUAUGCUGCAGCUUGUGGCAUCUCUGGAUCCUUAACCCACUGAGUGAGGGAAGGGAUGGAACCCGCAUCCUCACAGAGACAAUGUCAGGUCUUUAACCUGCUGAUCCACAAUGGGAACUCCCUUAUUUUUAAUUUUUUGAACCAUUUUUUUGAAAUUUAUUUUUUUGGCCAUGCCUGCAGCAUGUGGAAGUUCCUGGGCUAAGAGUCAAACCCACAGCAGCAACCAAAGUCACUGCAGGGCAGCACCAGAUCCUUCACCUGCUGCACCACUAGGGAAUUACCAACCAUUUAAAAAUAUACAACGUUGUGCCUUCCCUGAUGCCUCAGUGGGUUAAGGGUCUGGUGUGGUCAUUGCCAUGGCUUGGAUCACUGCUUUGAUGUGGGUUUGAUCCCUGGGAAUGUCUACAUGCGCUGGGCUUGACCGAAAAAAACAAAACAAAACAAUUUCGUGUCGUUAAGCUCAUUUGCAGUGGUAUACAGUCUUCAUCACUAUCCAUUUUUUUUUUUUUUAUUUUUUAUUUUUUAAGGACCACAACUUUGGCAUAUGGAAGUUCCCAGGCUAGGGGUCACGUCGGAGAUGCAGCUGCCAGCCUACACCACAGCCACAGCCACGCCAGGUCAGAGCCACGCCUGUGACCUAUACCACAGCUCAUGCAAUGCCGGAUCCUUAACCCACUGAGUGAGGCCAGGGAUUGAACCCACAUCCUCAUGGAUACUAGUCAGAUUCUUAACCUGCUGAGCCACAGUGGGAACUCCAUCAUCACUGUCCCUUCUAGAGCUUUGUCAUCCUCCUCCCCAAACACUCAGUGCUCAUUAAACAGUGGCUUUCAAUCCUCCGAUUCCCCCACCCCUCCCCAGUCUUUAGCUCCUGGGCUCACCAUUCUACUUUCUGUCUCUGUGAAUUUGCCUGUUUGAGAUACUUCACGUAGUGGACGCAUCCAAAAUUUUGGAUAGCCUUUCUUUAAAUAAGAUUUUAUUGGAAUACAGCCAUGCUCAUCCAUUUAUGUUUUGUCUGUAACCCUUUUUGCCCUUCAACAGCAGAGGUGAGGCAUUCUAAUAGAUAAGGUAUGACCUGCAGCUGAAAACCCACUGUCUUUUGCUUUACACGGAAAGUUUUCAGAUCCUUGAACUUGACUGGGGGAUGGCUAUGAUUAUUCCAUUAGCAUGGGAAAGGUGCCUCUUUUCCAGGCCAUUGACUGUAGAUUUUUACAGCAUAAAAGUUGCCGAGACCUUUAACUCUGCUUGGUCAGAUUCCUCCUCUGUUUUCAGCCUCCCUCAUUUCUGUGGUUAAAAAAUGCACACCCUUUUAGAAUUCUGUCUGCCUUCUCUCCUGGAUUUGCUUCUCCCUCCAAGAUGGAACGGACCUGUAAAACUCUUCUUCCACCCUUGAAUUCAGCAAUUUAAUGCCCUUUUUUUCUGCUCGAUCAUCUUCAUUCCUUUCCAUUGUGUAGAACAGAACCCCCUCUGAUCCACACUGCCCCCUUCACAGUUGUGUUGCCGUUAAGAAAUAAGAUCUGCCAACAAAUCUGACUCUGCAGGCUCCCCCUUUCACUAAGGUGAGUAAUGAACUAGUUCUCCCUAUGGAGAUGGUGACCUCUGUGGUAUCAUGUGAUCCCUCCAUGAAGAAGACGACUUUACCCCGGAGUUGUACGACCGCGACAGUACCUGUGCUUUCAGCGUCAUUUCUCACUUGCCUAGGCCUUUAUUUAAGAAGGCAAUUCAGGUUGCCAUUUUCGUUUAUUUUUCCAAGAUGUAUCGUUCUAGCCAUCCCGUUGAACUUGCUUUUUGAUGGGAAGCGGUGUCUGUAAAUGAUGCAGACUUUCUAGGGCCUCGGGUGUCCUGUGGCCUUGAGUCGUACCACUGCUCUCUGCAGUUUUGUCCACUAUGGACUUGGGUGCAUUUGAGUAUAAGUAACUACAUUAAAAAAAAAAAAAGUCCGUCAUUUUGCUCUCCUCCCACAAAACAAACCCAGAUCUCAUCCGGGUGACACUGCCGUCAGUCACUUCCCCUGAACAUCUUCCUAAAGAUCAACAUUAGGGAG